AGUGAACGCUGGCGGUAGGCCUAACACAUGCAAGUCGAACGGCAGCACAGUAAGAGCUUGCUCUUACGGGUGGCGAGUGGCGGACGGGUGAGGAAUACAUCGGAAUCUACUUUUUCGUGGGGGAUAACGUAGGGAAACUUACGCUAAUACCGCAUACGACCUACGGGUGAAAGCAGGGGACCUUCGGACCUUGCGCGAUUGAAUGAGCCGAUGUCGGAUUAGCUAGUUGGCGGGGUAAAGGCCCACCAAGGCGACGAUCCGUAGCUGGUCUGAGAGGACGAUCAGCCACACUGGAACUGAGACACGGUCCAGACUCCUACGGGAGGCAGCAGUGGGGAAUAUUGGACAAUGGGCGCAAGCCUGAUCCAGCCAUACCGCGUGGGUGAAGAAGGCCUUCGGGUUGGAAAGCCCUUUUGUUGGGAAAGAAAAGCAGCAGGUUAAUACCCCGCUGUUCUGACGGUACCCAAAGAAUAAGCACCGGCUAACUUCGUG
rnacentral:rRNA from 1 species